rnacentral:rRNA from 1 species
UGAGGGAAAGGCGAAAAGAACCCCGGCGAGGGGAGUGAAAAAGAACCUGAAACCGUGUACGUACAAGCAGUGGGAGCCCCACCACUAAGCCAGUGGUGAACUCCACAUCCGCAUCCUUUGCUGAGGAUACGGUUAACGGAGCGAAAGCGACGUUCAACCGCAAAACAAGCAGAGGGGGCUUAGUGGUGGGGUGACUGCGUACCUUUUGUAUAAUGGGUCAGCGACUUAUAUUCUGUAGCAAGGUUAACCGAAUAGGGGAGCCGGAGGGAAACCGAGUCUUAAUUGGGCGUUAAGUUGCAGGGUAUAGACCCGAAACCCGGUGAUCUAGCCAUGGGCAGGUUGAAGGUUGGGUAACACUAACUGGAGGACCGAACCGACUAAUGUUGAAAAAUUAGCGGAUGACCUGUGGCUGGGGGUGAAAGGCCAAUCAAACCGGGAGAUAGCUGGUUCUCCCCGAAAGCUAUUUAGGUAGCGCCUCGUGAAUUCAUCUCCGGGGGUAGAGCACUGUUUCGGCUAGGGGGCCAUCCCGGCUUACCAACCCGAUGCAAACUGCGAAUACCGGAGAAUGUUAUCACGGGAGACACACGGCGGGUGCUAACGUCCGUCGUGAAGAGGGAAACAACCCAGACCGCCAGCUAAGGUCCCAAAGUCAUGGUUAAGUGGGAAACGAUGUGGGAAGGCCCAGACAGCCAGGAUGUUGGCUUAGAAGCAGCCAUCAUUUAAAGAAAGCGUAAUAGCUCACUGGUCGAGUCGGCCUGCGCGGAAGAUGUAACGGGGCUAAACCAUGCACCGAAGCUGCGGCAGCGACGCUGAUGCGUUGUUGGGUAGGGGAGCGUUCUGUAAGCCUGUGAAGGUGUGUCGUGAGGCAUGCUGGAGGUAUCAGAAGUGCGAAUGCUGACAUAAGUAACGAUAAAGCGGGUGAAAAGCCCGCUCGCCGGAAGACCA